rnacentral:rRNA from 1 species
AGUGAACGCUGGCGGUAGGCCUAACACAUGCAAGUCGAACGGCAGCACAGUAAGAGCUUGCUCUUACGGGUGGCGAGUGGCGGACGGGUGAGGAAUACAUCGGAAUCUACUUUUUCGUGGGGGAUAACGUAGGGAAACUUACGCUAAUACCGCAUACGACCUACGGGUGAAAGCAGGGGAUCUUCGGACCUUGCGCGAUUGAAUGAGCCGAUGUCGGAUUAGCUAGUUGGCGGGGUAAAGGCCCACCAAGGCGACGAUCCGUAGCUGGUCUGAGAGGAUGAUCAGCCACACUGGAACUGAGACACGGUCCAGACUCCUACGGGAGGCAGCAGUGGGGAAUAUUGGACAAUGGGCGCAAGCCUGAUCCAGCCAUACCGCGUGGGUGAAGAAGGCCUUCGGGUUGUAAAGCCCUUUUGUUGGGAAAGAAAAGCAGCAGGUUAAUACCCCGCUGUUCUGACGUACCCAAAGAAUAAGCACCGGCUAACUUCGUG